rnacentral:lncRNA from 1 species
UGAACAAGAAAUUCCAACCCACACCAUCCAUGAACCACAACCAAAUCCUGUUCAAUCUUAAACUGACAUUGAAACUCAAAAUGAGGUUGAACAAGAAACUCAAAACCUACCUUAACCAAAAUCCACAAAUGACCAAACUAUCCCAGAACCACACCUGAUACAACAUUUUGAACCAUCUAACCAUUUUAACUCACCCUCUAGGGAAGAUGAUGUUGUGUCAGAAUCUGACAUAUUAGCUCUACCUAGCCCUUUUAACCCCCCACCCU